rnacentral:lncRNA from 1 species
UUUGGCACACGGAGGCCCGUCGCAAAGUCUCGCGGCAUUCUGAGUCCGGCGGACGAAGUCGGCCAGCCCCACCCCCCAAGGCUAUAGCCCACCCGUUUAUGUGGCCUUUUUCCGCUGGACGAACAUGGCGACCCGGCCUUCAUGCGGUUAUUUUUGGGUACGGCUUCGUCCGCGGCCUAUUUUUGGGACACGGAGGCCCCUCGCAAAGUCUCGCGGCAUUCCGAGUCCGGCAGACGAAGUUGGCCAGCCCCACCCCCCAAGGCUAUAGCCCACCCGUUUUUGUGGCCUUUUUCCGCUGGACGAACUUGACGCCCCGGCCUUCGGGCGGUUAUUUUUGGGCGCGGCUGUGCCCGCGGCCUAUUUUUGGCACACGGAGGCCCCUCGCAAA